rnacentral:siRNA from 1 species
AUCAAGGGGGUGCCAGAUACGACA